rnacentral:tmRNA from 1 species
CAUCUUUAAUUUGCCUCAAAUAUCAACUAUAUAAGUAGUGCUGCCCAUCUGGACAGCUAUGGUGAUAAACGGAUAUCGCAAUAAACCUAUCGGACCCCGGGGCAGUACCGGGCACCUCCACCACAUAUGCUUUGCUCACCCUGAAAAGAGCAAAUCUGAUGGGGGUGAAACAGGAUCGACGAGGGCGUAAAGGAUUGACUUUUACCCGGCAUGGUACCGCCGUUAUCGGGCUAAAUUUUAGUUGCAAAUGACAACUAUGCUCCGGAAGCAGUUGCAGCGUAAGCUGUAAAUACUUUCGAAAAUUAAGCCUUAUGCCCUAGCAGGCAUAAGCGGGGUUCGCGGGCACCUGGCAACAGAAGCCCGUUUU